rnacentral:ncRNA from 1 species
CUUAUCAAGAAAGACGGAGGGACGGGCCCUUUGAUGUCUUGGCAACCUAGAAAUAGGUGCUAAAUCCCACUCCAUUUAAUUUUGGAGAUAGAUGAG